UACGUAGGGUGCAAGCGUUAACCGGAAUUACUGGGCGUAAAGCGUGCGCAGGCGGCUUUGCAAGACAGAUGUGAAAUCCCCGGGCUCAACCUGGGAACUGCAUUUGUGACUGCAUCGCUGGAGUGCGGCAGAGGGGGAUGGAAUUCCGCGUGUAGCAGUGAAAUUCGUAGAUAUCGGGAGGAACACCAGUGGCGAAGGCGACUAUCUGGGUAAUACUGACGCUGAGGGACGAAGGCAUGGGGAGCAAAUGGG
rnacentral:rRNA from 1 species